CCUACGGGGCGCAGCAGUGAGGAAUAUUGGUCAAUGGGCGGGAGCCUGAACCAGCCAAGUCGCGUGAGGGACGACGGUCCUAUGGAUUGUAAACCUCUUUUGUCGGGGAACAAAGGCGCCCACGGGUGGGCGGAUGAGUGUACCCGAAGAAAAAGCAUCGGCUAACUCCGUGCCAGCAGCCGCGGUAAUACGUAGGGGGCAAGCGUUGUCCGGAUUUAUUGGGCGUAAAGCGAGUGCAGGCGGCUCAAUAAGGCU
rnacentral:rRNA from 1 species